rnacentral:rRNA from 1 species
AUGCCUAUUUCCUCGCGCAUCAAACUGGGUAGGGAGUGGGAGCACCGUUCGUCUCACUCGAAUUGGUCUCUCCCCAAACUUGAUUUCCCUCAAUUUGACGGAGAGAAUCCCCAAUUCUGGAAGACUCGAUGUGAAAAGUACUUCGAGGUCUAUGGGGUACAGUUGGAUCUCUGGGUCCGCGUGGCUACGCUCCAUUUCUCUGGCCCUGCAGCACGAUGGCUUCAAGUCCAGGAAGCACAGAGCACUCCGUUUACAUGGGCGAGCCUCUGUACUGCUCUGUGUGCCAAAUUUGGCCGUCAACAAUACCAAACCAACCUCCGUCAGUUUAAUACCUUGCGCCAGUCAGAUUCUGUAGUGGAAUAUAUGGAGAGAUUUGAGGAACUAAUGCAUAAUUUGCUUGCCCAUAAUCCUUCCUUUGAUCCUCUGUUCUUUACUACUCAGUUUUUAGACGGGUUAAAACCUGAAAUUAAAACCGGUGUGGCUCUCCACCGGCCUCAAGAGCUCGAUACUGCCUUCUCUCUCGCUCUGUUGCAGGAAGAACUAGACCAUUAA